CUUCUGAAAGUAUUGCAGAGUGUGAAGGGAAAAAAAGAAGGAACUGAUGCCAAAAACUCAUUUGUCAUAUUAACAAAUGUGAGAACGGGAGGCCCUAGAUGAGUUUCUCCCCUGGGUCUCCACCUUGAUUGCAUCCGCUAGUGAGCAUCAUUGAACAUCAGCAUAAUCUAUGUGUUCUUUCUGAUAUGGUUGGUACUGAGAGCUGACUCACAAAAUCCAGAGGCGGCAGAGCUGGAAAGCCUUUUCUCCCUCACCUUGGUGACCAACCUGGAUUAAAUUGGAUGUCUUUUCUCAGUCAUGCCAUCCUUCUUUGUAAUACAUUUUCUUUAUUUUUAUUUUUUUCAGUGUGGGGUGAUCAAAAGCCAGCAUUGCGGUGCCAUCUACAUUUCGAAGUGUUCUGCCCAUUCUGUUGUCGUUGUUGUAUCCUUGCCAGAGCAGCACGUCCCAGAGAGAUGUUCCAUCAGCCUCAGUUCCACAGUGAAGACGAAUGGACAGCAGAGAUGCACCCAAAGCACAUUGGAUAAGGCACGCACGAGCAACAUCAAAAGGCUCUUGAAAUAUUGGGAGUCCCAGAGACUGAAAGGGACCUGA
rnacentral:lncRNA from 1 species